CCUACGGGUGGCAGCAGUGAGGAAUAUUGGUCAAUGGUCGGGAGCCUGAACCAGCCAAGCCGCGUGAGGGAGGAAGGUACAGAGUAUCGUAAACCUCUUUUGUCAGGGGACAAAGGCUGCGACGCGUGGCCGUAUGAGGGUACCUGAAGAAAAAGCAUCGGCUAACUCCGUGCCAGCAGCCGCGGUAAUACGGAGGAUGCGAGCGUUAUCCGGAUUUAUUGGGUUUAAAGGGUGCGCAGGCGGCGUGUCAAGUCAGCGGUAAAAUGUCGGGGCUCAACCCCGGCCCGCCGUUGAAACUGGCAGUCUCGAGUUGGAGAGAAGUAUGCGGAAUGCGUGGUGUAGCGGUGAAAUGCAUAGAUAUCGCGAAGAACCCCGAUUGCGAAGGCAGCAUGCCGGCUCCACACUGACGCUGAGGCACGAAAGCGUGGGUAUCGAACAGGAUUAGAUACCCCGGUAGUC
rnacentral:rRNA from 1 species